GGGUGCAAUCAUACCAGCACUAAUGCACCGGUUCCCAUCAAACUCCGCAGUUAAGCGUGCUUGGGCGAGAGUAAUACUAGGAUGGGUGACCUCCCGGAAGGUCUUCGUGUUGCACUCC
rfam:Eutrema salsugineum unplaced genomic scaffold scaffold_10, whole genome shotgun sequence.